UGAGGAAUAUUGGUCAAUGGGCGAGAGCCUGACCCAGCAACGCCGCGUGAAGGAAGAAGGCUUUCGGGUUGUAAACUUCUUUUGUCAGGGACGAAGCAAGUGACGGUACCUGACGAAUAAGCCACGGCUAACUACGUGCCAGCAGCCGCGGUAAUACGUAGGUGGCAAGCGUUAUCCGGAUUUACUGGGUGUAAAGGGCGUGUAGGCGGGAGUGCAAGUCAGAUGUGAAAACCACGGGCUCAACCUGUGGCCUGCAUUUGAAACUGUACUUCUUGAGUACUGGAGAGGCAGACGGAAUUCCUAGUGUAGCGGUGAAAUGCGUAGAUAUUAGGAGGAACACCAGUGGCGAAGGCGGUCUGCUGGACAGCAACUGACGCUGAGGCGCGAAAGCGUGGGGAGCAAACAGGAUUAGAUACC
rnacentral:rRNA from 1 species